UAUCCCUCAAAUUAGGAAGCAGACCAGACACAACAAAAGAGGCAGGGAUCGUACAAUGUUAUUUUUAACUGUAUUAUUACUUUUCUGAUUAAACAUUGAGAGAUACCCUUUUCUUAAAUAAGAAUAAGAAUCGAUUGGUCAAUGAAGCCGAAACUCGUCGAUUCUAAGCAGGGUGUUAUGAUGAUGAAACAAACCAGAUUUUAGUCAAACAUUGUGAUUGAACCAAUGAAUGGGACUUCCAAUAGUACAGAUACAGACACAAAUGAUGGCUUGAAUGGCAGUGAAACGUUCAUAAUUAUAUUUCUUGCCACAUCAGUUUGGUUUGGCUUCCUCUUCUUCUUAAUCUGCUCCAUUGAAUACUCAAAGUACAAGGACAGAGGAGACAAAACACAGAAUAAUAACAGAAGAAAUGCUGCUCCAGUUGAAGCAAAAUCUUAUACAGAAAGGAAAGAAGAAAUAUCUAUGGGAGUUGCAGCACUGUCCAACAUUCAACAAGAACUGUCAACAAUUUCACCUUCAGAUGAGGUGACAGAUUCAUCGAUAGAAAGAAAAGACGACAAGGCAGACAUAUUUCAUGAUCAAAAUGACUUCCAUGAGAAUAAUUGUUCUCUGGAUUUUCCCACACCUAAAAAUAGGAAAACAAUACUUCCUCCGAUAAAUGUUGGGACCAUUAUAAAUGUUGAGAGUAGAUGUCAUUCAGAUACAAAUUCACCCUCCAAGGAGACACUGCUGGAAAUUACUACCAAAAAACACAAAAACUCACAAAUGACACCUGUAAUUGUUCAUUCUUAAAAUAAAGCUUAGUCUGUGAUAAGUAAGUCAUAGAAUUAGGCAAUAUUAUUUUUAUAGUGGUAUUUUUACUCAAAUUAGUGAUUAAUUUUGCUUUGAUAAGUUAUUGCUCUUUUAUAAGCACCUCUUAAGGGCAUGCUAUACAGUUACAGGGGAGGUAAUGAUGUUGCUAAUGUAAUAUGUUGUAUUUCCCGACGUCAAACAUCGACAUAUCUGGAAAAGAUGCAUUUUUCAAGUGAUUUUAAUCAUUAACUUGAAAACGAGUACAUGGACCACUCUUUUUUAAAAGGAAAUUUGACUUGAUACUGUAUGAAGAUUAUUUGUUCCAAUUUUUAUGAAAAAAUCACUGAUGAUUUUUUUUUAAAUUAGAUAAAUAUGCAGCAGAAAAUGCCAUUUUUUACCAAAAUCUUGAAAUUUUAAUAAAAAUGAAUUAUCUUUUUAAAGAAUUGUUAGACAAUUUAAAAGCAUACUUCUGUAAAGCAGAUAUUCCAAAUCUUUUUACAAAAAUUGGCAUGUGUUUUUCUUUUGAAAGAAAAAAGUUAAGUAUGUCUGUCUAAAGGAUAGAAAUGUCCAAGAAACAGAAAUUUUAAGUAAAUGUCUAAAAUUUUGACCCCAUUUAUCUCUACAUUUAGCACAUGAAGGUAUAUUUUUUAUGACAUAUUUGAAUUAACAAAACGAAAAAUAGCUUGUAUGCAAAUUUUUUUGUAAAAAAAUUACCGUGGGAUCAAAACUGUAUCGUAUGCCCUUAAGAUAGGUUACCUCCCCUAUCAGGCUUCUUCUAUUGUUCCUACUUUAAUUAUAAAUUUCUAUGAAUUUUAAGACAUGUAUUAUUUGAAACUAUUUUUUUAUAAUGUUUGGUGCAUGAAAUUGCAAUAAUCAAAUAACAAAUGAUAUUGUUUUAUUUUUGUUGACGUAUUUUGCUAAGAAUACACAUCAGUGGCGUAUCCGGGGUUGGGGGGGGGUUCUUGGGGUUGGAACCCCCCCUUUUUUUUAACGAUCAAUGCAUUUGAAUGGGGACAUAUGAUUGGAACCCCCCCUUUAUCUUGGGUUGGGAACUCCCCCUUUUAAAAAUGGCUGGAUCCACCCCUGCACAUCCAAUGAUGUAAAUUAAUUUCAUAUUUCAUGAUUUAUUUCAAUUGAUCUACAGUGGUAUAACUCAAUCUUAUAACUGAAAAUAUCCUAGAACUAAUAAGUCAGUUCAUUUCAGUGCUAGAAAUGUGUUUGAAGUUUAUGAGUAUGGUAGAAAUCCAUGAAAGUCCCUUGAAUUUAUAAUGUUAAGUAGCAUGUUUUAAACAACAGUAAUUUUCAAUUUACAAUUCCAAAUUUCUGGCAGUUUCAGCUCAGAUCCACAGGAUACGGAGGCAUAAUGCUCUGCACUGUACAAUAAUUUAUUAACACAGAGGCUUUCCCAACUACUGUAAAUUCAGAAAUUAUUGCGUGCAUUUAUUAUUGCGAUUUUUGAAGAAUGGACUAAAAUGCCAGAUUAAUUAUUGCGAUUUCAGGAAAAUCUGCAUACAGAUAUAAGUAUUAGAUAUCAGAAUGCGAGUUCUUAUUAUUGCGAUCUUCAUCCACUCGCAUUAUUCGCAUUAAUAAAAACCUCACAUUAAUUUCUGAAUUUACAGUAGUCAAAAGUAAUUGAUUGUUUUGUUUUCUGUAAAUAAAUGUACGUCCUGAUGAAAUCAUAGUCAAUAACCAAGGAAUUUUUGCUGCCAAUAAAAAUUUGAACCCUUGAUCUAGCUAUUGCUACGAUUAAUUAAGUUUUAUAUUUUGAACUUUAUUCAGAAGCCUGGUUUAUGUAAUUUUGAUGAAAAAUUAGAUUUGUAAUAAAUUAUUGAUUAUUGAGAAAAUGAUGAAAGAAAAAAUGACCUUUAAAACUGCUUCAGAAAAUUUGCUCAAGAAGGUAUGUUGUGAUUGUGUAGAGAAAGAAAUUAUUUCUAUGUGGUACCAUCGUUAUUCAUGCAUAUUUAACACAAACGUUCACUUAAUUGUUACUCAAGAGAAAAGUGAGCUAAAGGAGAUAAUUCUUAAAAGAUAUUUACAAUGUAAACGUUUCUAAAAAGUUAAAAUCAAAAUACAAAGUAUCUGUGAUAAUGCUCAAAAUGACAAAAACAUUGAAAUACAUUUAGUAGUACUUUUUGCUAUGUGUACAUGUUUUUUAAAAUAUUAAAAUCAUGUAAAAUUGAUUUUCUAAUUCUGAAUCCUGAAUUCUAUCUACCAGAGACCAAAUGAUGUUGAUGUCAGCAACUAUUGGUGUUGUCAGUUUGUUUGAUCACAAUUUUUCUGAUUGAUAUUUACAUGAAUUUCAUAUUUUUCUCAAGUAAAUAAUAAUAUUUUAUAUUUCAUGUACUUAAUUCAUCAAUUAUUGUACUUUCAUUAAUAUUAUCAUAAAUUGGUAUUAAUCCUCAUAACAGAGUUACUAUAUUAUAUGUGUGACAAAAUUCUCACAAGAACUAACAGAUUACUAUGUUUUCAUCUUGUAAACAAAUAAUUUAAACCUACAUCAAUGAUCUACUGCAAAACCAUGUGCCAUAAUAUUUUUUUCUAUUAACCAACAAUUAUAGUACCAAAUAUAUUUACACCAUAAUAUGUAUAUAUUUGAAUUCUCAUUACACUACCAUUAAGUGUAUAACUUUAUUGUUAAUUAUUGGUUGUAAGAAGCUGGAAGUAACAUAGAUCAAAAAUUUAAUUAGGUAGGGUCAAAUAAAAAGUUCAUGAGACAAGAGCCUAGCAUUAAAUAGGACUUUAUUUGAAAAAGACAAAAUGGAGUAAUGUUUCAGCUUGCUUUAAAAGAAGAAGAGAAUUAGAGGUUGACCCAAACUGUUUAAUUUUCUUCAAUAAUGCACAAUGCAUUCCAUCCUUAUUUUGGAUAAAUUCAACAUUAAAAAUGUAUAUAAAUGGCUGUACAAAUGAUUUUUGUAAUUGUCACCUUUUAGGGUUUUUUUAUAGUAGUUUUAUGUUCUUCCCCAGUAUUAUCUAUUAAUGAUUUAAUUUAUAAGUUGUAUUAAAGGUAGUUGCAAUUCAUGAUUGAUUUUGUUUUAUUUACAUAUUUAUAUAUAUAUACAUAUAUUAGUCUAUCCUUAAUAUGACCUUCCUUCUGUUUUUGGAUGAUUUUUAGUUAUUUUUGUUAAUGAUAGAUGAAAUAAAACAAUGUUUUAGGUUGUUCUGUUGCUGUCUCAUUGAUGUAAGAGGGUCUAGAUGGGGUACUUCAUUUCAGUAUUCUUUAUUUUUUUAGGCGUUUUUUGUCUAUUCUUUAUACUUUUUGCCCUUUAUUCUCUAUUCUUUAUAUUUUAGCACCUCAUUAUUCUCUAUUCUCUAUUUUUUUUGUCCAUUUUUCUCUAUUCUUUAUAUUUUUGCUGAUUAUUCUCUAUUCUGUUAUCCCAAUCCACACCCUCAUGUAAACCUCAUAUCUUUUUUAUUGAUGUAAAUUUGUUAUUGAUUAAUAAGAUUAAAUGUAUUUUUUCCUUCUGAUUUGUACUUAUCUGAAUUUUUAGAGAUGAGGAUUUGCAAUUUAACAGAUUUCUUCAAAACUUGAAAUACCAUUAAUGUUUAUGAAUUGUUUAAAAGAUUUUAAAUAGAAAAAUGUUUGAAUGUUUCUGUAGAAAAAAAUGCAGUCGGACCUAAUUAUGCAAACACUUUUGCAUUGUAAAAUUCUUAAUUUGUAAUGUCUAAAUAUAAAGAAACAUGUUAUCAUAUAUAGAAUAUAUAUUGAAUUAAUCUCUUAUAUUCAGUUAUUAGAAGACUAACUUCCAGGGUAAUACAUGCUUUCUGACCAUAGCUGUUAGAAAACUCCUCAUACCAAUCUUUAUUAUAUUGAAACCAGAAAAGGGUCUCUAAAAUUUACUAUUAAAUUCUGCUUUAAAACAACAAAAAAUAAUCCUGUUUUGCAACUGAAACCUAUUUUUGGUAUGCCAGCAAAUCUGGAGAACUUUGUCAGCAUUGCUUCAACACAUAUUUUAUACUAAAAAAUGUUAUUCCCAGUGAUUUCCAUCAUUGAAACCAAGACAUUGGACUAAUUCCAAACCACUCUGCUUCAAUCAAAAUUUUGAAAGAAAAGAUGCUUGUUUUAGACACAUUUUGGCAAAUAUUUCUCUUGAAAUGUUGUUAAACUUCAUUCCUUCAAAUUUGUGAUAAAAGUCUGAUCUUUAAACCAUGUAGUAGAUAAAUAAUGGCCUUUAUUAUUGUUAUAUAAAGUGUAAUGAAUUUUUUUUUGUAUUAAAUGAUGAAGAUUUUCUUAUUGAAGUGCUUUUAUUAUUAACAAACUCCUUUGGUUUGUUUUUUUAGUUUUGUUAACAUGUUUUAUUUUGUGUUUAUUUUUCUUGUGUACAACAUGUCAAAGUUUUGUUUGAGAGAAGGUAUGAAAAGUCCCCUUGAAUUGAAAAUCAACCAGUAGGAUAAAUGUAUCAAAAUAUUUCUUCAGAUAUUGAGGAUAGAUUAGUCUUUAAUAUAUCAGUUUAUAUUUUUUUUAUAUUGUAUUUUACAUUGUAUCUUACAUAUUUGCAUAAGACCUUUGAACUUCUGGCAUUUAAGGAAAAUAUUUGAAAAUCUUAUCCUUAAUGUAUGAAUAUGAGCUUUACAAAAAAAUGUAAUUUGCUGCAAAAUGUCUUAUUUACAAAAUUGUUGAUAUACAUCUCUUUCAUACAACAAGGAUGUUGCCAAUAUGAUAUUUAAGCAAAAAAUAUCAGAUAUCUUUAUAUUGACAUCCUAUGUCAGAAUAGACAGCACAAAUGACUUUAGAAUAUUUUUUAGACAAUAGAUAUUUUUUUUACAAAACUGAUACAUAUGUUUGUAAGGUAAAACAACUUUUAAGCUAUACAAAAGCUUUUCUAUAUGUUUGUUAGUUGUAUUAAACAUAUAUAUCGUCAUGAACAUCUAAUGUGUAAAACUUUUCUGCUGCACUGUCUUGUUAUGAAAAUUGUACUAGUCAGUAUUGUUCAGGUUAAUGAUAUUAUAUUUUAAUUAUAAAACACAGCUUUUAAAUAUAGUUAUUAAAAUAAAGGCUUUAUUGAAUAAAGUAAAGUAAUUGUU